rnacentral:tRNA from 1 species
GCGGAUGUGGCGGAAUUGGCAGACGCGCUAGCUUCAGGUGCUAGUUUGGGCAACCAAGUGCAGGUUCAAGUCCUGUCAUCCGCACCA